UAGGGAAUCUUCGGCAAUGGGGGGAACCCUGACCGAGCAACGCCGCGUGAGUGAAGAAGGUUUUCGGAUCGUAAAGCUCUGUUGUUAAGGAAGAACGAGUGUGAGAAUGGAAAGUUCAUACUGUGACGGUACUUAACCAGAAAGGGACGGCUAACUAGGUGCCAGCAGCCGCGGUAAUACGUAGGUCCCGAGCGUUGUCCGGAUUUAUUGGGCGUAAAGCGAGCGCAGGCGGUUAGAUAAGUCUGAAGUUAAAGGCAGUGGCUCAACCAUUGUAGGCUUUGGAAACUGUUUAACUUGGGUGCAGAAGGGGAGAGUGGAAUUCCAUGUGUAACGGUGAAAUGCGUAGAUAUAUGGAGGAACACCGGUGGCGAAAGCGGCUCUCUGGUCUGUAACUGACGCUGAGGCUCGAAAGCGUGGGUAGCAAACAGG
rnacentral:rRNA from 1 species